UGCUAUGGCGGGUUGCGCAGGGACUUCCCCGGAAGUGCCAGCCCCUUCGUGCUGGUCCGCCAACCUUGCGUAAUCCGCCACCUAA
rnacentral:antisense_RNA from 1 species